rnacentral:rRNA from 1 species
AUCAACGCUGGCGGCGUGCCUAACACAUGCAAGUCGAACGCGAGGGUCCCGCAAGGGACUAGUAGAGUGGCAAACGGGUGAGUAACACGUGGGUGACCUGCCUUCGAGUGGGGGAUAACGUCCCGAAAGGGACGCUAAUACCGCAUGACAUCCUGCCGUUUAAUCCGGUGGAGAUCAAAGCUGAGGAUCGCAAGACUUAGCGCUUGAAGAGGGGCCCGCGUCCGAUUAGCUAGUUGGCGAGGGUAACGGCUCACCAAGGCGACGAUCGGUAGCCGGCCUGAGAGGGUGGUCCCCCACACUGGGACUGACAACGGCCCAGACUCCUACGGGAGGCAGCAGUAAGGGAUAUUGCGCAAUGGGCGACAGCCUGACGCAGCAACGCCGCGUGGAGGAAGAAGGCCUUCGGGUCGUAAACUCGUUUUGACGCUGAGGAAAAUUGACCGUAGGCGUCGAACAAGUCACGGCUAACUACGUGCCAGCAGCCGCGGUAAAACGUAGGUGGCGAGCGUUAUCCGGAUUUACUGGGCGUAAAGGGUGUGCAGGCGGGAGGUCAAGUGGUGUAUGAGAGGCGGAGGCUCAACCUCCUCAUGUUAUGCCAGACUGGCCUUCUAGAGGACCAAACAGGGCUGUGGAAUUCCGGGCGUAGUGGUGAAAUGCGUAGAGAUCCGGAGGAACCCCAGAGGCGAAGGCGGCAGCCUGGUUGGCUCCUGGCGCUCGGACACGACAGCAUGGGGAGCGAACGGGAUUAGAAACCCCGGUAGUCCAUGCCGUAAACGAUGCAGACUAGGCGCUGGCGGUCUCAACCCCGUCGGUGUCGCAGAUAACUCGAUAAGUCUGCCGCCUGGGGAGUACGGCCGCAAGGCUAAAACUCAAAGGAAUUGACGGGGGCCCGCACAAGCAGCGGAGCGUGUGGUUUAAUUCGAGGCUACACGAAGAACCUUACCUGGACUGGACAGGCGCACGAACGAGGCUGAAAGGCCGAGGGCCGCAAGGCGUGCGCUCAGGUGCUGCAUGGCUGUCGUCAGCUCGUGCCGUGAGGUGUUAGGUUAAGUCCUGUAACGAGCGCAACCCCCGGGUCCAGUUACACGCAGUCUGGACCGACUGCCCGUGACAAGCGGGAGGAAGGUGGGGAUGACGUCAAGUCAGCAUGGCUUUCAUGUCCAGGGCUACACACACGCUACAAUGGCCGGUACAAUGGGUCGCCAAGCCGCAAGGCGGGGCCAAUCCAGCAAAGCCGGUCACAGUUCGGAUUGUGGGCUGCAACCCGCCCACAUGAAGUCGGAGUUGCUAGUAACCGCCGGUCAGCCAUACGGCGGUGAAUACGUUCCCGGGCCUUGUACACACCGCCCGUCACGUCAUGGGAGCUGGUCUGGCCUGACGCCAGUGGGGUAACCGAAAUGGAACCCGCUGUCCAAGGCACGGCUGGUGACUGGGACG